UUCCAGAAGGCCUUGAGGGAUCACCGAACUGUUAAUCCGCAGGUCCCUGGUUCGAGUCCAGGUCGGGGAGCCA
rnacentral:tRNA from 1 species